GUUUGCACUUAUCGGGGAAGGGUGAGAACCUUCGAUUAAGGUUCGACUCGAGCGAAAGCGAGAGAACGUUGCCAAAGGCAACGGCCCGAAGGGUGAGGAGCGAAGCGACGAAUAAUCCUUCCCCCACCACCA
rnacentral:sRNA from 1 species